rnacentral:lncRNA from 1 species
AAUUCGGCAUACCAUGAUGUCCACCAUCAGCUUUAUGGUACCAAAUACAACUUCUCUGUCUACUUUGACAUAUGGGACAGAAUUCUAGGAACCUAUAUGCCUUAUUCACUUGAGAAGAGACCUGAUGGCGGCCUUGAAGUACGACGUGCUGAUCAAGAACACAAGAAGGAUUGAUUGAUUAAUUACUUGAUUAAUCAGCCAAUUAUGAUAACUAGUGAGCAUGGAUUGAUGAAUGUUCCAUUAGGUUUUAUAUAUGUAUCUAAUGUGUAUGUAUUAUGUGUACUACUAUGCUUCACUAGGAGUAAAGGCAAAUCUGGUGUGAAACUAAGUCAAUUAUGAUGACUAGUGAGCAUGGAUAUUGAUGAAUGUUCCAUUAGUUUUUAUAUAUAAUAUCUAUAUGUAUUCUAUAUAUUUCUCUGCUUCACUGGCAAUAAAGGCAAAUCUGGUAUUGAACUAAAUAUUAUGAAUAAAACUUGAAGCUUAUAUUCUACAAAUGGUUAACUCAUUUCUUUUAGCAGCUUGAUUUUGGCAUUGUUUUUAUCUCUAUCCCAAACAUCUACAAAGUUAAACCUUUUAAAUAUCAUCGAAGUUAGUGUAUUUUAUUAGAUGUAUGCCAAUUCACAGCUCGAAUCUGAUCAAAUCGAACUGGUGAUUUUUUUUUUUUUUUUGGGGGGGGGGGAGUGGGUGGGUACAAAUAAAGAGUUCAAAGACAAAUUAGACUAAAUACCAGCACCUAGAGUGAAGCAGCAUCCUUCUGUAACAUAGGUCAAAUAGCAGCAGGAGGCUCGUGGCGAUGCUGGAAGCCUGUUCCUGAGUAAAUCAUAACGUCAAACAUUAAAAAUUAUUUGGCAGAAAAUUUUUUUUGAAGAGUAAACAAAUUUCUUUUUAUUAUUAUCUAUUUCUGGC